UACAGAGGAGCCAAGCGUUGUCCGGAUUGACUGGGCGUAAAGCGCACGCAGGCGGACGCGCGCGUGGGGUGUGAAAUCUGGCCGCUUAACGGCCAGGCGCCAUCCCAUACGGCGCGUCUGGAGUGAUGCAGAGGUCGGUGGAAUUGCCGGUGUAGUGGUGAAAUGCGUAGAGAUCGGCAGGAACACCCAGGGGGAAACCAGGCCGAACUGGGCAUCUACGUGACGCUGAGGUGCGAGAGCGUGGGGAGCGAACGAGG
rnacentral:rRNA from 1 species